GCUGAUGAACAAAAGAUGUUCGUCAACCUUAGGAUUGUCUUUUUGAAAAAGGAGUUUCUUAGAGAAGGAACUAAUGCCACUAAGGUUGAACUUGAUGAAAUUCGACAGGUAAAAGAAUCGACACAAUCUAGUGAACCUACAAAAUUAGAGCUGAUUAGAUCAAAUCUUGAGCCCAUUAUAGAUGCACCAUUGAGGAGAUCUGAUAGAGUGCCGC
rnacentral:lncRNA from 1 species